CAACUCCGAGGCAUUGGUGGACAGACGGGCGCGUCAAUCUCCAGGGUUCCCCACACAGGAAGCAGGAAGCAGGAGGCUGGAGGCUCACAAAACGGACCAGGGAAGUUGUGCAGUCUGGCCUCAGGCUGACAGUGGAAACGUGAGGGGGAAUCUGUGAAAGUCAGUGCUCAGGCUAAAGGCAGCUGCACGAUGACAGGGAGGCCCCCAGGGUCGCUGCUCACACAGCACUUGUGCGGUGACUGAGGGAGCCAUGGGUCCUGGAACCGAGGAGGCAGCUGGGCUGUGCGGUGGAUGGAAGUGCUGAGGCAGGAAGCAGGUGGUCACAGGUGGAGGAAAGGAUGAGCUCGUGCUAUGGAGCAUCUGCCCUUCACGGUGGCUCCUGUGGAGAGGCUCCGCAAAGAUUAAAUUGUAAAGGAAAAUUCAUUUAUUUUGCCUAAUCAUCGUCAAAAACAAUUCUGACACUUGCAGUGCUGAAAGGAAGGCUACUCUGGACAACAAAACAAGAAAUCUGGAAUUCUCAAGGACUAAGUUGUCUCAGGAAGUGCACGGGCAACAGAAACAUUUCCACGAGAGGCCGGGCGCUCAGUCCGGAACUCCUCUCUGAUGUCUGACUUUUCCAGGGACGGAUGGGCGCCUCCAAGCAAGAUGCCGAAUCUCUUUGAACCUAUCCUCCUACUAGAAAAACAGAUUCAUUUCUGCUGACAAAAGUGACUUACUCUACGCCUGUAAUCCCAGCACUUUGGGAGGCCAAGGCGGGCAGAUCACCGGAGGUCAAGAGUUUGAGACCAGACUGGCCAACGUGGCGAAACCCGGUCUCCAU